AGUGAACGCUGGCGGCAGGCCUAAUACAUGCAAGUCGAACGGCAGCACAGCAGAGCUUGCUCUGUGGGUGGCGAGUGGCGGACGGGUGAGGAAUACAUGGGAAUCUGCCCAGUCGUGGGGGAUAACGUAUGGAAACGUACGCUAAUACCGCAUGCGCCCUUUGGGGGAAAGCCGGGGACCUUCGGGCCUGGCGCGAUUGGAUGAGCCCAUGUUCGAUUAGCUAGUUGGCGGGGUAAAGGCCCACCAAGGCGACGAUCGAUAGCUGGUCUGAGAGGAUGAUCAGCCACACUGGGACUGAGACACGGCCCAGACUCCUACGGGAGGCAGCAGUAGGGAAUAUUGGACAAAGGGCGCAAGCCUGAUCCAGCCAUGCCGCGUGAGUGAAGAAGGCCCUCGGGUUGUAAAGCUCUUUUGUCCGGAAAGAAAAGCAUUCGGUUAAUACCCGGGUGUUCUGACGGUACCGGAAGAAUAAGCACCGGCUAACUUCGUG
rnacentral:rRNA from 1 species